CUGGCUCAGGAUGAACGCUAGCGACAGGCUAACACAUGCAAGUCGAGGGGCAGCAUAAAAGUAGCAAUACUUGGUGGCGACCGGCGCACGGGUGGGUAACGCGUAUGCAACCUACCUAUCAGAGGGGAAUAACCCGGCGAAAGUCGGACUAAUACCGCAUAAAACAGGGGCACCGCAUGGUGAUAUUUGUUAAAGAAAUUCGCUGAUAGAUGGGCAUGCGUUCCAUUAGGUAGUUGGUGAGGUAACGGCUCACCAAGCCGACGAUGGAUAGGGGAACUGAGAGGUUGGUCCCCCACACUGGUACUGAGACACGGACCAGACUCCUACGGGAGGCAGCAGUGAGGAAUAUUGGUCAAUGGGCGAGAGCCUGAACCAGCCAAGUCGCGUGAAAGGAAGAAGGAUCUAUGGUUCGUAAACUUCUUUUGCAGGGGAAUAAAGUGCAGGACGUGUCCUGUUUUGUAUGUACCCUGAGAAUAAGGAUCGGCUAACUCCGUGCCAGCCGCAGC
rnacentral:rRNA from 1 species